CUUUCUCUCCUGGGAGAACACAAGGUCCAUGAGAGAAGAGACUUUGUGUCAUUUUGUGCUGAGUCCUCAGUGAUGGGAAAUAAGUUGAUGAGGCUCUGACCCGGUGUGGAGCAUGGAGAGGGAUGGAAGCCAGUUGACCCAUUCCUGAGGCCAGACCUGCAUUGUCCACUGAGUGACAUUAGCUCUACAGCUUGUGGAAGGUCUUCCCAAACUCUGAAACCUGAAAGUUAACAAAGCCUCAGCUGAUACCAGUCAGCUUUGUGAACAAGCAAACCAACCACCGGCUGGGAAGCAUCUAUUGUAUGGCUCCUCAAUUCACAGCGGAAACCAAAUUACAAGAAUACAUGGUGCAAAAAGCAUUCUCCAUGUCAGCAGCCAAAACAACUCAUCUGGGACUUGCAAGUUCCAGCUGCCACGCUCGG